AUACUCUCAAUUACCUAAAGUGUUGGAACCUUUAAGUUAUCAUCAACUACUGAGACUGCAGCUGUAACCAACUGAAGUUCCCACUUGGUUCCCACUUUUCUGGGGAGACAGAGUAUCAUCUCCUCUGGGCAGAAAGCCAUGGCCACAGGAGGGAUCAAAACAGAUGAACUAUCACUGCUGGACUGGACUCUGAGAAACAAAGGCAGUGCCUCUGAAGCUGCCAGAAGCUGGCAAGAAGCAGUGCUCACUAACACUUGGAAGGACAUAAAGCAACUUGCAACCAACACAUGGAUGAGAAAUCACUGCAACUGAGUCAUGAAGGCCAGCAAUUUAUUCCUCUCUUUAUCUGCCAAGCAAGAUAAACGCAAAAUCUGGAGAUGGAAGGAACAAAAGAA